rnacentral:rRNA from 1 species
GGGUGCUAUCAUACUAGCGUUAAUGCACCGGAUCCCAUGAAAACUCCGCAGUUAAGCGCGCUUGGGAUUGGCGACCUCCCGGGAAUUCCUAGUGUUGCACCCU